UGGGGAAUAUUGGACAAUGGGGGCAACCCUGAUCCAGCCAUGCCGCGUGUGUGAAGAAGGCCCUCGGGUUGUAAAGCACUUUCAGCGAGGAAGAACGCCUAGCGGUUAAUACCCGCUAGGAAAGACAUCACUCGCAGAAGAAGCACCGGCUAACUCCGUGCCAGCAGCCGCGGUAAUACGGAGGGUGCAAGCGUUAAUCGGAAUUACUGGGCGUAAAGCGCGCGUAGGUGGCUUGAUAAGCCGGUUGUGAAAGCCCCGGGCUCAACCUGGGAACGGCAUCCGGAACUGUCAGGCUAGAGUGCAGGAGAGGAAGGUAGAAUUCCCGGUGUAGCGGUGAAAUGCGUAGAGAUCGGGAGGAAUACCAGUGGCGAAGGCGGCCUUCUGGACUGACACUGACACUGAGGUGCGAAAGCGUGGGUAGCAAACAGGAUUAGAUACCCUGGUAGUCCACGCCGUAAACGAUGUCGACCAGCCGUUGGGUGCCUAGCGCACUUUGUGGCGAAGUUAACGCGAUAAGUCGACCGCCUGGGGAGUACGGCCGCAAGGUUA
rnacentral:rRNA from 1 species